AGCUGGCUGUGAAUUACAUGAAGAGCUUCUGUCGGUAUGGAAGCCAGGGAGAUUUAGGUUUGGCAUUGUGAACUAUCUGUGGCUCUCAUGCGGCAACAUAUUGCCCAGUGCACAUGACCUUUAUCUCUGCUCUGCUAGGAAGAUCCCUCAUAGUAGCUCUGGAGAUGAGUGUAACCCAUUAGGAACUAGACAGCUCACCUUUAACCUUUCUUGGUGAAGAACAUUCUAUGGAAAGCCUUUCAUGUUCCCCAAUAUAAAUAAAGCAAGAGCAGGCUCCAUUUUGCCAGUCUAGAAGCUCUAUCCGUCUGAUUGGCUUGCCCAUCCACCCCUGCUUGUGAGAUUACUUUCUGUGUCCUGUGGAUUUUUCGUCAUUCUAUUUUUCCUAGAAUUUAUUUCUCAGCCAACUUAUUCCACCUAGGGGAACCCCAUUUCCAUUGUUCACAUGAAACCAGCUCAACAUUAUUUUGUAUUUUUUUUAGAGAUAGGGUCUUACUGAGUUGCUUAGCAUUUCGCUUUUGCCAAGGCUGGCUUUGAACUCACGAUCCUCCUGCCCUCAGUCUCCUGAGCUGCUGGGAUUACAGGUGUGCACCACCACACCCGGCUUACAUAUCUGCAUUCUUGAACUGUCCUCCAUUUCAUGGCAGUAUAUUCAAUUCUUAAUCCCCUUUAGAUUACAUUAGCUGACGUUUUGAUUUUUCAAAAGUGUGCACCAGUGUGUAUAAGUGAUACUGGUCCUCCAUAGCUUUUUGUUUUUGUGCAUGUUUGUAUUAUGCUUGUUGAGUUUGGAAAGCAGAUUUAUUCAUUCAUCCUAUAAGUUACCUAAGACUGCUGACUGUGUGCCAGACACAGUUCUGGACUCCUGGAGCAAGACUGUCUUGCGGCUAGGGGUUUGGCACAUCAGGAGUGCACUUGGCUUGGCAAGUGUGAGGCCCUGGGUUCUGCCCCCAACACAGUAUAAAGGAGACUGUCUUUGUGGCUUUAACAUUCUUUUGGGGAAAGGUCAUUCCAGCUUCAUAAAACACAUCUGGAAAGUUUUCUUUACACUCUUUAAAACACUAGAGUUACCUGUAUCAUGUACUUAUUUUGAUUAUUAAUGUACUAUUAAUGUAUCAAUGUACUUCUGAGUCUUUUUAAAUUCUCAAUAUGUUUUCAUUUUCAUUCACAGCACUUGGAGAGUGUGCUGACUUGCUUUGUGCUCUGUCUGCUAUAUCGUCUGUCUCACCUUACUGCUCAGAUUUGGUGAUGGAUGUGGAGGGAUGUUUUGUACCCAAGCAGGGAGUGUGCCUUUAGUUAUGUGGUGCUCACAUUUUCUGUUUCUUCAUGGAGCAGUUACCUUGGAGGGAACCCUGUAGACAGAAACCUCCCUCUACGGUGCUAGAUUUUUCUGUUUCUCCCUAAAGGUCUGUCAACUUUUGCUUGAACUAUUUGGGAUCUAUUUUAACAUUAUUCCUAAAAUGAUUUGUUUUAUACCAUACUCUGUUCUAACUGGUGUCAAUAUAGCUGUGCUAGCCUUCUAUGGUAACUAGGUGACUGUUGGAUCUUUUUUCUCAUUCUUUCUCAUGGAAUCUUUCCAAGGGCAUAUGUCUUAGGUGUGUCUCUAUUCCACAGCAUUUGCUUGAAGAUUGUUGCUUUUGAUCCAAUGUGACAACCUCUAAUCUCUGACAGUUCCCCAUCAGACCUCCUCAAGGAGCUACUGUUGUUAUUUGUUGUAUCUGUCCUGGCAGAAGCCCCCCAGUGGAGCCAGCUCAGGAUCCCCACAUGUUCCUGUUCAUUAGGAGUGCCACAGAAUCAGCUCCUCUGUUUGGAACAAUCUGGAAAGAAGCCCAUCUGAAUUUCCAAGUGAAUGAUGCUGCUGUGGUGGUAGCUGCUCCCAAGUCUUUUGUGGAUGUACCCAGAAGUAGGAUUAUUGGAUCAAAUGAGACUCACUAAGUUGCCCAGUCUAACCUUGAACUUUCAAUCCUCC